GUAGGGAAUAUUGCGCAAUGGGGGAAACCCUGACGCAGCGACGCCGCGUGAGUGAUGAAGGCCUUCGGGUCGUAAAGCUCUGUUGCAGGGGAAUAAAAAAAUGAAGGUACCCUGUGAGGAAGGAUCGGCUAACUUCGUGCCAGCAGCCGCGGUAAGACGAGGGAUCCUAGCGUUGCUCGGAAUCAUUGGGCGUAAAGAGGGCGUAGGUGGCUUGGUAAGUCAGGUGGGAAAGCCCAGGGCUCAACCCUGGAAGUGCAUUUGAUACUGCUGAGCUUGAGUGUCGGAGAGGUUACCGGAAUACCUGGUGUAGUGGUGAAAUACGUAGAUAUCAGGUGGAACACCGGAGGCGAAGGCGGGUAACUGGACGAACACUGACACUGAGGCCCGAAAGCGUGGGGAUCAAACAGGAUUAGAUACCCUAGUAGUCC
rnacentral:rRNA from 1 species